rnacentral:misc_RNA from 1 species
GAUGAAGAACGCAGCGAAAUGCGAUAAGUAAUGUGAAUUGCAGAAUUCAGUGAAUCAUCGAAUCUUUGAACGCACAUUGCGCCCGCCAGUAUUCUGGCGGGCAUGCCUGUUCGAGCGUCAUUUCAACCCUCAAGACCCCUUCGGGGGACUUGGUGUUGGGGACCGGCACAGGGGCCUGCCUGCUUGUCUUGCAGCGCCCUCGCCGCCCCCGAAAUGAAUUGGCGGCCUCGUCGCGGCCUCCCCUGCGUAGUAGCACAAACCUCGCAACGGGAACGUGACGGCGGCCACUGCCGUAAAACAACCCAAUUUUAUUAGAGUUGACCUCGAAUCAGGUAGGAAUACCCGCUGAACUUAAGCAUAUCAUAAGCGGAGGA